CGUAGGGUGCGAGCGUUGUCCGGAAUUAUUGGGCGUAAAGAGCUCGUAGGCGGUGUGUCGCGUCGGCCGUGAAAACCUGCAGCUUAACUGUGGGCUUGCGGUCGAUACGGGCAUCACUGGAGUUCGGCAGGGGAGACUGGAAUUCCUGGUGUAGCGGUGAAAUGCGCAGAUAUCAGGAGGAACACCGGUGGCGAAGGCGGGUCUCUGGGCCGAUACCGACGCUGAGGAGCGAAAGCGUGGGGAGCAAACAGG
rnacentral:rRNA from 1 species